UUUAAAACAAUUCAAAAGAUUAUGCUUAGUUUGCUUAAUUCAUAAAUCAAUGGAAAUCAAAUCAACCCUAACAAUUUCACUGUUAUAAGUGCUUUCUUGGUGUUGGAAAUGAAGUUUUAAGGCAAUGAACAAAACAAAAAUUUUUGCCUUUACCACUGAUGUAGGUAUUUGUGACAGCUAUAUUUAUACAAGCUAUGAAGCUCUCUUAGGGACAAACAUGUUAGCAAUGAGAUGAACUGUG
rnacentral:lncRNA from 1 species